CCAAUAGCGUAUAUUAAAGUUGUUGUGGUUAAAAAGCUCGUAGUUGAACCUUGGGCCUGGCUGGCCGGUCCGCCUCACCGCGUGUACUGGUCCGGCCGGGCCUUUCCCUCUGUGGAACCCCAUGCCCUUCACUGGGUGUGGCGGGGAAACAGGACUUUUACUUUGAAAAAAUUAGAGUGCUCCAGGCAGGCCUAUGCUCGAAUACAUUAGCAUGGAAUAAUGAAAUAGGACGUGCGGUUCUAUUUUGUUGGUUUCUAGGACCGCCGUAAUGAUUAAUAGGGACAGUCGGGGGCAUCAGUAUUCAAUUGUCAGAGGUGAAAUUCUUGGAUUUAUUGAAGACUAACUACUGCGAAAGCAUUUGCCAAGGAUGUUUUCAUUAAUCAGGAACGAAAGUUAGGGGAUCGAAGACGAUCAGAUACCGUCGUAGUCUUAACCAUAAACGAUGCCAACCAGCGAUUAGCCUGAGUUCCUUAAAUGACUCGGCUAGCAGCUUCCG
rnacentral:misc_RNA from 1 species